rnacentral:RNase_P_RNA from 1 species
GAGGUUGGGUAAUCGCUGUACUCCACUUGAGAGUAUAGAGGAAAGUCCAUGCUCGCACGAUCUGAGAUGAUCGUAGUGUUCGUGCCUAGUCAAAAAAUAAGCUAGGGUAGCUCGGCAUGGCGUCCGGGCUAACGGCGAGAGAAGCGCCUAAGUCCAUUUGGAUAUGGUGUGACCUCUCUGAAAAGUGCCACAGUGACGGAGUUCCCAAGGAAACACGGGAAGUGGAACGCGGUAAACCCCUCGAGCGAGAAACUCAAAUUUGGUAGAGGAACUCUCCAGAAGGAAAUGAACUGAAGGAGGGACAGGCGAUUAGCCUGUAGAUAGAUGAUUACCACCAAAAGUACGAGAAGUCUUGCUUCGUUAUUCAGUACAUUGGAACAGAACAUGGCUUACAGAC